rnacentral:lncRNA from 1 species
UAAGCACUGUACUGUAUACUUGGGAGUACAAUAUAACACCAAAUAGACACAUUCCCUGCCCAAAGUGAGCUUACAGUUUAGACAGGGAGGCCUCCCACCCUCGACCACUGAAAUACAGUCAGGGGCUAUUUGAAGUAGUUAGCAGUGGAUGCAGAUUUAAAGAUGGUCAGAGGUUUGGAAACUGAAAGGAGAAAGCUUGGAGAUGUCAUAAGGCUGGAAAUUUUCACCCCUUUUUUUUUCCUUUGUAAAAUCCUCAAAAAGAGGCCUACCCAGUGCAGUCUCCCCCUUCGCCAGCUACAGCAGCAAAAUAAACAGCACCAGGUGGAAACCAAGGAACAUGCCUGUGGUUGAAAAAACAGCCAGUGAAGAGGAGUCUCUAUACCCUCCUGCUCUCAUCUGAACAAUGCAAGCUUGGUCCCAGAAGAACUAGGCAGCCCAGCUGCUGAGUCUGUUCUGCCCGAUUCCUGUAGCUCAAGGACAGCUGAGUCCUGGACAUAGUACACUGAGUGAGGAAAUGGUUUAUUCUCGGGAUCUAGAAUCUUCUUCCUCCACUACCAAACAUUUGCCUUCCAAAAACAGCACAGCUCUAUCAGACAGUAUUCCAGCAAGGAAAGCCACUGGACUGGGGGACAGCUACGACUCCCUGCCCAAGCCCAAAGCCAGGCCCAUCAAAUCUCCCGUAGCUGGUCAGAAGCUACCUAUGACCAGAGUGACACUGAAGGAAGGAUCAGAGCUCUGA